rnacentral:rRNA from 1 species
UACAGAGGGUGCAAGCGUUGUUCGGAAUUAUUGGGCGUAAAGGGCGCGUAGGCGGUGCUGUAAGUCUGUGGUGAAAUCUAUGGGCUCAACUCAUAGUCUGCAUCGGAAACUGCCGGGCUUGAGUAUGGGAGAGGUGAGUGGAAUUCCUGGUGUAGCGGUGAAAUGCGUAGAGAUCUGGAGGAAUACCGGUGGCGAAGGCGGCCCCCUGGACAAAGACUGACGCUCAGGUGCGAAAGCGUGGGGAGCAAACAGG